AAUAAAAAACUAAAAUCGAUUGCUACGAAUACAUAAUAUUGUAAACAUUUAGACUAAACGGUUAUAAAAAGUAUUGGUUUUUGGAUUUUAAUUAGUAUAAUAUGAAUAAAUUAUGAGGAACCUAGUGAUAUAAAAAACUAAAACGUUAUACUAUGAAUAUCAAUUUAAAAAACGAUAAUUCAUAAUACUAUAAAUAACACGAAGAGAUCUUAAGUAUUUUGAAAAUCAUUCCAUGUCUAGUAAAUGCUUAUACAUAUGAAUAUUCUGUAAAAACAUUAUGUCCCUAAAGUUAUUAAUUUAUGAGUUACAACAAAAAAGUUAAAAUACAUUUUGUCGAAAACUGGUUAUUUUGAAAAGUAUUUGGAAUUUUACUUUUGACCCGCCUGUAAAGUACCAACUAGAUUAAAUACCCUCAAUGUUGAAAAUCCAGCUUUUCUACUACUCCAGAGGUCAUGACAGACAGAAAAAAACACACAUAUUAUUGUAAAGUCUAUACAUUGAUCGCUCCACUCAGAAUCUAAAAUUACCUCAACGUUCAAACGACAUCGUUGGAGCUGAUGGUGAAAAAAAAUAUCUGCAGUGCGUCAGCCUCUCGGUUUUCCACGUGAUACGAGCUCCAGGUCGCAAUUUUCUCGGUCAGCGGACAUAUACAGCUAUACUGUGCAUGUAUAUAAAUACGCCAAAAUAUAAUAUUAUAUUUCGAUCCGGAUGCCCGAUAAUUUACAACACACAUAAUAUACCCGUCACACAUAAUUCAAUACGAACCUAUAAUGGUGAUUUAUCUCACCGGCGACGACCAUAACAUAAUAUAGAAUAUUUGUCUGUCGUCGUCGACAUCGGUUAGCGGUCGGUGCAAAUUCCGUUUAUUAGCGAGCUUGUCCGGGAAAUAUAUUAUUAUUAUUAUUGUGGCUACGGCUCCAAAAUAAUAUUGUUUAACAACACAUACAAUCCAGGGAGGCUCCGUCGGUUGGACGAUUUAUUACGACGGGGCGCCGUGCCCGCGAUCCCAUACCCGGAAGCGAUCGUGUUCGUCGUUGUGAUCCACGUGGUCUUACACUUUGCGAUUUAUCGCUGUGUCGUGUAGCACGAGAAACGAAUGAGAAUAUUUGAGAUCCGACCAAAGCAACACGGAACGGAAAUUCACAUAUUAUUAGGUAUUUCAUCAACUUUUAGCCAGCAGCAACUCAAGAAUAAAUACAAGACAAAGAAUAUCCCGUCAUAAUCGAGUAAAAGUUAACUCUUUAAGUAAACGUUAAUGUAAAAAUGUUAAAAAUAUAUAAUAUUAUAAUUUAUUAGUAGCUAUUAGAUAUUUUUUUUCGUUAAGGAAAAUUAUUAUAUUUAUUUAUUAGUAUAUUAACGCUGAACGGCGUUAAGGAAUCAUGCAUGUGGAUAUAAUGUUUUUUGGUAAAGUACAGUGAAAAAAUACCUACUAAUAUUUAGUUAAAUUUUUUUUUCUUGAUUUGCGUUUCCAUGGAAAUAAAUAAUAAACAAAGUGUUACAAAAAUCGGUGAAAAAAAUAAAAUUGUAUCUAGCCCAAAAACAUAUCUAUGUUAAAAAAGAGAUUAUAUAAAAUCGUGUCGUUGGUAAAUUAAAACAAUUAUUACGUUGGCAAAAAUGCACAGUGAUCUAUGGAUUCUGGUUGUGACUUAUGAAAAUCACCAUUCAUCUGUCUACGGUUCGAAUGAUACUCAUUAUUUAUUAAAAGUUAAUUUUUUUUUAAUUUUAACGUACUCAAAUCAUUUUUGAACGUACUUAGGUGUUCGUCGGACGGCUUGGUGAAGUCAUAAAGCUAUCAAAAAUCGACCAAAUUUUUUACAGCUACGCAGGUAAACGUCUAAGUUCAAUAGUUUUUUAUAGUUUCAUACGAAUA